AUUGAACGCUGGCGGCAGGCUUAACACAUGCAAGUCGAGCGGGGGAAGGUAGCUUGCUACCGGACCUAGCGGCGGACGGGUGAGUAAUGCUUAGGAAUCUGCCUAUUAGUGGGGGACAACAUCUCGAAAGGGAUGCUAAUACCGCAUACGUCCUACGGGAGAAAGCGGGGGAUCUUCGGACCUUGCGCUAAUAGAUGAGCCUAAGUCGGAUUAGCUAGUUGGUGGGGUAAAGGCCUACCAAGGCGACGAUCUGUAGCGGGUCUGAGAGGAUGAUCCGCCACACUGGGACUGAGACACGGCCCAGACUCUUACGGGAGGCAGCAGUGGGGAAUAUUGGACAAUGGGGGAACCCUGAUCCAGCCAUGCCGCGUGUGUGAAGAAGGCCUUAUGGUUGUAAAGCACUUUAAGCGAGGAGGAGGCUACUCUAGUUAAUACCUAGGGAUAGUGGACGUUACUCGCAGAAUAAGCACCGGCUAACUCUGUGCCAGCCGCCGCGGUAAUAC
rnacentral:rRNA from 1 species